GAGUUUUUCCCUUUUUCUUGCUUAUUUUCCUCUUGCACUGGGGUGAAUAGUAUAUACUAUUAUACCCUUGGAUUAAUGGCCUUGUUGUAAUCUUUUAGUUAUACCCCUUGUAAUGGGCCCACUUGGCAUUGAGAUAUCCUUUCCACCAACUUGAUAAAUGUCCAUGCUCAGAUCACAUUAUAUGUCCACACUCUAAUGAAAAACUAUUAUAAUGAAAGAAGUGGCUCUUCAUAACUUUUAUGUAUAUAUGUAUUUUGGC
rnacentral:lncRNA from 1 species